rnacentral:lncRNA from 1 species
GGGUAAUAAAGUGCCCUGGUUUGCCCUGGACGAAAACCAACAGUGUUUUCUAGAUGCGAGUUAAAACUGGGACUUUCCCGGGCAAAUCAGGAUGAAUUGGUCAUCCUAGCUGAUUAGAGUGUGGGAGUGGGAUGGUUUGGGGGUCUUUUAUAAGCUGCCGUGUUUCAACUGACUAUUGGGUGGGUGAUUGUUUGCACACUUGGGUCAUUCUACCUGCUGGCUCAGGUGACUGAGACCCUUGAACUCCAGUAGGUCCAUGAGCUCUUCCUCUUACUCCUAUGUACCCUGGUUUCUCUGGGCACAAUGCCCAGAGACCAGCCUCGAGGGAAGACCACUGCUCCCAACAAUCCUCCUGGCUUACUUGCCACCAUGCCACUUCCCCUACGUAACGAACCAUUGUUGGGACUAAAGUACAUCCCUUCAGGAAGAAAACAGCAGCUCUCUACUUUGCAUCAGAGUUAGAAAAAAUGAGCUAGACCCUUUUGGCAACCCAUCUUGCAGAUGAGGAAACUGGAUUCUAGGGAAGGGUUGCUCGGCCUUGCCUCAGCCGUGCCUG